UACGUAGGUGGCGAGCGUUGUCCGGAUUUACUGGGCGUAAAGAGCGCGCAGGCGGCUGGUCAAGUCCGAUGUGAAAGCUCCCGGCUUAACUGGGAAAUUGCAUCGGAAACUGAUCGGCUGGAAGGUGGGAGAGGGUAGCGGAAUUCCCGGUGUAGUGGUGAAAUGCGUAGAUAUCGGGAGGAACACCAGCGGCGAAGGCGGCGACCUGGGUAGAUACUGACGCUGAGGUGCGAAAGCGUGGGGAGCAAACAGG
rnacentral:rRNA from 1 species